AUAGAGCAUUACUUGGGGUGCCUGUCAUGAAGCAGAUUUCCUUUGAUGUACGAGUGUAAAAUCGGCCUGGGCUGCUUCCCUCUGUGGACUGUUACUGUU